CCUUGAACUCCUCCUCAAGCAAUCCUUCCUCCUUGGCCUCGCAAAGUCCUGGGAUUACAGGCGUGAGCUACUGGGCCUGACCUACAAAAUGUUUUAUGCUUUCAGUGCUGAUAGUUGUUUUAAUAGGAACAACUUUGGUUCAACUUUAACUGCAAAUUGCCUGUUUUCAGAAGCAGCUCAAAUAUCAGAUCAAGUUAAUUUAGUUGGACUCCUGUCCCAUGCUUGAAAGUUUCUUCAUUGGAAAAGGU
rnacentral:lncRNA from 1 species